rnacentral:rRNA from 1 species
GACGAACGCUGGCGGCGUGCUUAACACAUGCAAGUCGAACGGAAAGGCCCUGCUUUUGUGGGGUGCUCGAGUGGCGAACGGGUGAGUAACACGCGAGUAACCUGCCCUUGACUUUGGGAUAACUUCAGGAAACUGGGGCUAAUACCGGAUAGGAGCUCCUGCUGCAUGGUGGGGGUUGGAAAGUUUCGGCGGUUGGGGAUGGACUCGCGGCUUAUCAGCUUGUUGGUGGGGUAGUGGCUUACCAAGGCUUUGACGGGUAGCCGGCCUGAGGGGGUGACCGGCCACAUUGGGACUGAGAUACGGCCCAGACUCCUACGGGAGGCAGCAGUGGGGAAUAUUGCACAAUGGGCGGAAGCCUGAUGCAGCAACGCCGCGUGCGGGAUGACGGCCUUCGGGUUGUAAACCGCUUUCGCCUGUGACGAAGCGUGAGUGACGGUAAUGGGUAAAGAAGCACCGGCUAACUACGUG